GGGAAAGAGAAACUUUAAAGUUUCCAAGUUUUUUUUUUCUGUUUUAUAAGUUUUAUAAUUUAUGCAGAAUCUUUAUAAACUCCAGAAAGAACCUCUUUGACUUUAUUUAUUAUGCUAUUUCUCUUUGUUACCCCAAUUGGGUUUUUUUGGCCAAAGAUACUGGAAUAGUUUACCAUUUCCUUCUCCAAUUCAUUUUACAGAUGAGGAAACUGAGGCAGUCAGGGUUAAGUGACAAGAUACUCCCAGUAUAUACUCUUCAGGAGUCACUCUUCCAAGACCAUUAAUGAAGAUCAAAUCCUGGAAAAUCUUCGACCAUUUUACUGGUGCAAGUCUUCACAUGCAAGCCAGAAAAGUAGAUUUUCUUCACUGUAUUCUGUUCGAAGAAAUUCCCUGAAGAGAUUUCUCCCGGCUGGUGUCUUCAUCAUCUUAUCAAAAUUUUGAGACCAGGACAUAAUUUCAUCUGGGGUGGGGUUUUGGCUAUGGAAAGACAACAGGGCUGUUACAAUAGGAAGAGGAAAAAGAUUUUGUGAAAUUAGUGCUGCCUGAGAUCCCUAAAAUGACUUCAGAAGAGACCUAGAUUGUUUAGUCAUUAUAAGUACUAUAUUAGCUUCAUGACUCAAUAGAAUAGGCAGCCUAUAUGGUAUGACUUAAUACUACUAUUAAUUAUUAGUAGUACAAUAGUAUUAAUAAGACAUGCAUAUAUGGGUAUUCCAUAUUGCCCAGGGACAUGUUCAUUUUUUAAAAAGUGGCUUUGCAUUUUAAUUUAAUUUCUUGAUCAUAUAUUUUUAGUUUUAUAGAUUGUUGUUUCAUGCGUAUUAUUAUUUUUAUACUACUUUUGUUUUUUUAAGUAAUAGUUUUUUAUUUUUCCAAAUAUGUGCAAAGAUAGUUUUUGACAUUUAUCUUUGCCAAACUUUGUAUUCCAAUUUUUUUUUGCUUCUCCUGUUCCCCCUUUUUCUAGACAGCAAGCAACCCAAUACAAGCUGGACAUGUAUAAUUCUUCUAAAUAUAUUUCAUAUUCAUCAUGCUGCACAUGAAAAAUCAGAUCAAAAGGAAA